rnacentral:rRNA from 1 species
UACGAGGGGGGGCAAGUGUUGUUCGGAAUCACUGGGCGUAAAGGGAGCGUAGGCGGGCUCUUAAGUUGGAUGUUUAAAACCGGGGCCCAACCCCGGCGUGGCAUCCAAAACUGGGAGUCUUGAAUGGAACAGAGGCUAGUGGAAUUGGAGGUGUAGCGGUGGAAUGCGUAGAGAUCUCCAAGAACACCCGUUGCGAAGGCGGCAUCCUGGACCGGCAUUGACGCUGAGGAGCGAAAGCCAGGGGAGCAAAACGGGG